AGGAAUCCCGAAGAGAUUGGAGUGCUCGAAAGAGAACCUGCACACAGGUGCUGCAUGGCUGUCGUCAGGCUCGUGUCGUGAGAUGUGGGUUAAGUCCCGCAACGAGCGCAACCCUUGCCAUUAGUUGCUACGAAAGGGGCACUCUAAUGGGACUGCCGGUGACAAACCGGAGGAAGUGGGGAUGACGUCAAGUCCUCAUGGCCCUUAUAGGUGGGGCUACACACGUCAUACAAUGGCCGGUACAGAGGGUAGCCAACCCGCGAGGGGGAGCCAAUCCCACAAAGCCGGUCGUAGUCCGGAUCGCAGUCUGCAACUCGACUGCGUGAAGUCGGAAUCGCUAGUAAUCGCGGAUCAGCAUGUCGCGGUGAAUACGUUCCCGGGUCUU
rnacentral:rRNA from 1 species